GCAUAUACUGUAUACUAAAAAUUGGAUCGAUAAAGAGAAGAUUGGCAAGGCCCCUGCGAAAGGACGACAUACAAAUCCGUGAAGUGCUCCAUUUCACA
rnacentral:snRNA from 1 species